UCCGAGUUGUCCCCGGCAGUCCUCUUAGAGUCCCCGGCAUUACCCGCUGGCAACUAAGAGCAGGGGUUGCGCUCGUUGCGGCACUUAAGCCAACACCUCACGGCACGAGCUGACGACAGCCAUGCAGCACCUGUGCUAGCCCCUUACGGACACCGGCUUUCACCGGCUUCACCCUGCAUGUCAAGUCCAGGUAAGGUUCUUCGCGUUGCGUCGAAUUAAACCACAUGCUCCGCUGCUUGUGCGGGUCCCCGUCAAUUCCUUUGAGUUUUAGCCUUGCGGCCGUACUCCCCAGGCGGGGUGCUUAAUGCGUUAGCUUCGGCACGGAUGGAGUCGACACCACCCACACCUAGCACCCAUCGUUUACGGCGUGGACUAC
rnacentral:misc_RNA from 1 species